ACUGGAUAACUGAAUUCUAGAAUUCAAGCCUGAUGUCAUAGUUCCAUGAGAAUUUUAUGAGAAGGAAAAGGAUGUUGUACAUGGGCAGAAAGGUGAAAAUUGUGGCCAGAGGCAGAUUGUGGUAAAUUACAAAAUUGGCUCAUAAUCCUUUAUUCCUUCUUGCCUCCAUGCUCUUUGCAAUGUGACUUUGCCACUUUUCUCAUUAAGAGAUGGAUUCUGUUCUCCAUUGCCUUCUGUCUGGACUGGUCUUGUAACUUGUUCUGGUUAAUACAGAGGUAAAUGUGAUGACACAUCAGAAGCCCAGGCCUCAAGCAAGCUUUCCCACUUGUUCUCUUGGAACCCUUCCCAGCUAUCAGACACUACUGGCAAAGACAUUGAAAAGAAUCACACUGCUAAACCAGUAGCAGCUUUUAUCUUCUUCUCAGAUUGUAUACAUGCAGGAUAAAAGUGUUUCUAACACAUAGACUUCUAUAUUCCAGCAUAAAGAUGUAUUAGGCGCAUUUAUACUUUUACAUCGAAGCCUGUUUCAACAUGAACGGAGCCCAGGGAAGUUGGUGACUUAAUCCUCGUUAUACCCUGAUUUUGGACAAAUUUUACAAGAAGAAUAGGACUUCUACUUCUCUAUGUCUACAUGCACCUGGAACAGUGCUAGGUCUAUGCUUACAAAUUGAUUGGUUCAGGUCACCGCCAUGAGCCUCAGGACAGAAAAUUGCCGGAUAUGAGAGAGAGAGAGAGAUUUGACUGGGCUAAGAAAGAAAUGAACACGAUUUAGAGAUGGAAAUGGUGACAUAUGGGCCUUUGAAGCCUCCCAUGUUCCAGAGAAGGUGAGGUUUCACCAUGUUAGUCAGGAUGGUCUCGAUCUCCUGACCUCGUGACCUGCCCAGCUCGGCCUCCCAAAGUGCUGGGAUUACAGGCAUGAGCCAUUGCGCCUAACCUCAGAAACCAUUUUUAUAACCUCAAUACCUAAUAGAAACUGGCACAUGGACUGUGUGCGAAAUGUUCAAACUUGCUCACUGGGUUAAAAAGGAUGGACAGCUUAGAGAAAAAGAAGAAAAAAAGGAAACUCGGCUGUGCGCAGUGACUCAUGCCUAUAAUGCCAGCACUUUGGGAGGCCAAGGCAACUUUGCAAAUUAAAUGGUUCACAUAUGAAGGAGCACAGCUGUAGAAGGAAAAUAAGGAAGAGAAAAUAACUUCGGAAAAUUCCCAGGACUCAUACUCUAAAGCCCCUGUGAGCUGUGACUGCAAGAGUCAGCACCUAAAUUAGAUCAACACUACAACAUCAAAAAGCCAGCUUGAUGGCACAGCGGGGAGUGAGGAAGACUCGGUGGACAAAUCUGACUGGAAAACAAGUAGGCGUUGCAGAUGAAGACCUGGAACCAUGGUAGGAAGUGGGACAGGGAGCAUUUGGACAAGCUGUUCAAGAACUGAUCAUGCUCAUGUGUAUGGGAAAACAGAUGGAGGAAGAGAAAUUCCUGAAGAGCACAAGACUGGUGGGGCAAGGAACAAGCCUACUGAGAUGAGUUGCAGAUUUGAAGAUGGGAGAAAUGGUUUCGUUGUCUACCAUGUAAAAACUCAUUUAUGCAAGAUGCUUGAUAUCUGAAUUUCAAUUUCUUCAUUAUCAAAAUGAAUAUUAAAAAUACUCUACUUCUUAGAGUUGUCAAAAA
rnacentral:lncRNA from 1 species